UGGGGAAUAUUGCACAAUGGAGGGAACUCUGAUGCAGCGACGCCGCGUGAACGAAGAAGGCUUUCGAGUCGUAAAGUUCUUUUAUAUGGGAAGAUAAUGACGGUACCAUAAGAAAAAGCCCCGGCUAAAUACGUGCCAGCAGCCGCGGUAAUACGUAUGGGGCAAGCGUUAUCCGGAUUUACUGGGUGUAAAGGGAGCGUAGGCGGCAGUACAAGUCGGGAGUGAAAACUCGGGGCUCAACCCCGAGACUGCUCUCGAAACUGUACAGCUAGAGUGCAGGAAGGGCAGGCGGAAUUCCUGGUGUAGCGAUGAAAUGCGUAGAUAUCAGGAGGAACACCGGUGGCGAAGGCGGCCUGCUGGACUGUAACUGACGCUGAGGCUCGAAAGCGUGGGGAGCGAACAGG
rnacentral:rRNA from 1 species